UUCUCUUUUGUGUCUUUUUUGUCUUUUGGCCCCUUCACACCACAGACCUUGUAACUGAUGAAGAGGAUGAAACUGUGUCUGCUGCCUUUACAGAGGGGGAUCCAGAAAGGCAUACAGAGAGCAUGGCUGGACAGCAGCAGAAUGGUUCCUCAACUUCCACUGCACAGACUGACACAGUGAGAUGGAUGUUCAGGAAACACCAGAGGUUCAUUCUCUGGAAUUCAAGUGCAACUGUAUAAUUUAAUGUCCUCUAUGUAUUCCCAGUUAUCAGUAAAACAGAUUUACAAACUGCAUUUGCUGAGAAAAAUCCAAAACAACAGAUUAGGAGGGCAGAUCUGGAAAUUGAAAGACUGGAGCACAAGUUAGAGGUGGGUGAU